UACGUAGGGUGCGAGCGUUAAUCGGAAUUACUGGGCGUAAAGCGUGCGCAGGCGGUCUGUUAAGACCGAUGUGAAAUCCCCGGGCUUAACCUGGGAACUGCAUUGGUGACUGGCAGGCUUUGAGUGUGGCAGAGGGAGGUAGAAUUCCACGUGUAGCAGUGAAAUGCGUAGAGAUGUGGAGGAACACCGAUGGCGAAGGCAGCCCCCUGGGUCAAGACUGACGCUCAUGCACGAAAGCGUGGGGAGC
rnacentral:rRNA from 1 species